UACGUAGGGAGCAAGCGUUGUCCGGAAUCAUUGGGCGUAAAGAGCGUGUAGGCGGCCCGGUAAGUCCGCUGUGAAAGUCCAGGGCUCAACCCUGGGAUGCCGGUGGAUACUGUCGGGCUAGAGUGCGGAAGAGGCGAGUGGAAUUCCUGGUGUAGCGGUGAAAUGCGUAGAGAUCCGGAGGAAGACCGGUGGCGAAGGCGGUCUGCUGGGCAGUUCUGACACUGAGGCGCGACAGCGUGGGGAGCAAACAGG
rnacentral:rRNA from 1 species